rnacentral:lncRNA from 1 species
AGUUGGUGGCGUGGUAGGCACAGAUGAAAGGUUGUUUCUAUUUCGAGUGGCGUUUCUAAAUGGACGAAAAAAAAGUAUCUGCAAGAAAGUAGAUUGCAAAAAGGAAUUGCCUCAAGUGUUCUAAUAGGUUUUUGGCACGCUGGGGAAGAGGAGAAGGACGACGUGGUUGUGUGGCAUAUCUCCCUCGCGUGAUCGCAACGUUUCUCUCAGUCUCUCUGUAGCCCGGCUGAUUUGCGAGGCCAGCAGUGAAGAACACAAACAGUCGCAAGAGAAAUAUCGUUUGCAGUGCACUUUUCUUUUGCCAUUGCCAACAAGAAGGAGACGACGAUUCUUGUUGCAGAUCGAGUGAGACCUGCGCCGAGAGAAGCGCGAAAUGCCGGAUAAAGAGCAAGUUGUCCGGCCGUCAAGACCUCACAAAGGACCAACAUCCAACACCCGAAAGACGUUCGUCGUACAUCGAGCGUGUCACGAUAUAAAAAACUUUAAUAACACUCAAAAUCACUCGUCGAGUCUAUCCUCGACUGGUCUGGGUUAGACUCGGUUGGCAGCCAUCACUUUCUCCCGUCCCGGCCACGUGACGAAGGAAAUCCCAUCGCCAGAGAAAUGCGGUCGAGCCAGCUUUUUCGACGAAUUCUGCUCCGCAUCAAAUUGGACGACGUCUGGCUCCUGAUGUGCGACGCUUGAUGGUCUCCUCACAAAGAUGAAGACUCGCAGACUGGACGCGUCAGCUGCCAGCUGGAAAACGUACCUGACGAUUCCCGGUGAUUCUCCGCUCGCGUCUUCGGAACGAAAUUAGCGAAUCUCCUUCGCUCCUGAUUGCUAGCGCGACUGUUUCAUUACAAAAGAAGAAUAUCGGUGGCGGCUGGAGGAGAACGAAUGGAACAAUGAGGAAAGGAGGCGUUCCCCUUCCAUCCAUCCCAACAGCAGGAAGUCGAUCGGCUGAGUCGUUGGCUCUUUUGAUAUCUCCCCAGUCGGGACUCGGGAGAGAGAGACAACACGGAGAGUUGCGGCGAAGGGAAGAAAAAAUAAAAUAAAAAAAUAAAAAUGAACGCCAAAAGAUUCCGGAUGAGCGCGCGGACAUGCAGCCCCCCUUUAACUGCACUCAACUCGGAGCGGAUGGGCGGAUCCUUUUUUUAUUCCAAGACGAACUCGAUUCACCUCCAUUUCGGCCGACUACGACGACCAGGUAACAGACACUGUCGGCUCAUCAAUCCUGAUCAUCAUCAUCCCAGUGAAAAACCCAGCGCACCUCCAAGGAAAAGUUCCAGCUCUCGGCCCAGCCCAACUUCAGUCAACUUUUUUUGGGAGGAAUGCACAGAGGAUCGUUCGUGAAGCGGCCAUCUUGUGGACGCCGUGAUAACGAAAUGGCGUCGCCCCAGCACGAUGGAACGUUCGGGAGAAAAGGCGCUGCCAAACGGGGCGAAAUGAACAAUCCUCGUCCGUAGAGCCCACGCCACCGUGUUGGUCAAGAAGCUGCUGCUGCUGCUGCUGGAAACACAAUCCCGCCACCUCAUCGUUGGGAAAAAACUUCGUUGCCGAACCACAGCCCGCUGGCAAAUCACUUAAAAAAAAGAAAAAAAAAACUGGCGUUGUGGAGUUGGGGACAGAAGCUGAAACGAACAAGUUUCUAGACUCUCCUAGACGAAGAAAAAAGAGGAAGACGACGACGAUGUGACUGGAUAAAACCAAAAGUUCUGACAGUUUUAGAUUCCCCUAGCUAUAUAGUACCAUUAUAUAUUUUGCUUUCAUAUUUCAGUAGUUUGUGUGUGUGUGUGCGCAUGAUAGAUCUCUUCUUGUUCUUGUUGGCGUUCUUUUAAUCUCUCUCUCACUGCGAAAGAAGAAGAACACGGACUGGCUUUUUUUUUUUUUGGCAUCUUUUUAGCCAUGCGGGCGCCCCUCUUUUUCCCCGAUGCUAAAUCGUGAGCGCGCUCCCGCCCGUCCCUCCCCGUUAUGCUCUUAUCAUUGUCUCUUUUUUUUUCCCUUCUUCUUCAACUUGAAGAAAAAGGAAAAGAACUUGGAUUGAAGAGAGGGGAGGAGAAGAAAAGAAACGGAUAUCUGUCGACUAGACUUGAUUUGAUCGGGAGAAACAGAAAGAAGAGGGGUAAAUAAUAAUUCAAUUUUUUCUCGUUUGUUUUUUUUCUUUUUUCCAUUUCUCUUGCGUUUUGGUUAGUAACGAUUUUCUUUUGUUUCUCGGACGAGAGAAUAUCUCUUUCGCCUGCCAGUUUUUCUUCUUCUUCGUCUUCUGGUUUUCGAGCCGGAUGGGUGUGAAGCACGCGCGCGGUCACGACGAAGCGCGUGCGCUGGGUCUGGUCUGUAGAAAAGGGCGUCGUCCUUCUUCUUCUUCUUCUUCUUUUUCUUUCGGGUCGACAAAGACGUCCUCCAUCCUCCCUUUUCGUUUCCUUUCGACGUCAGCGGCCGGACCAAUCCCUGAUCGCCUUGUGUUUGCCUCCGCAACGCCGAACCAAGCCGAUGGUACGAGGGGGGGGUUGCAACAUGCACGCCACUUACCACACACACACACACACACACACACCAUCUUUGAUGUAUAUAAAAGGGAAGAAGAAGAACUGCCGAAGAAGAAGAAGAAGUAACACACACACAAUCCCUCCUUACUAUAUUUCCCCCCUUUUACUGCUGUGUCUGUUGUUUCUUCGCCUUUUUACUCUCUUCCCUCAAUUCUCUUCAUUCUUGUUGAGUUCCUUUUAACGUUUUUCUUUAUAGCCUCGAGACUCGGGAAUGAUGGAUCAUUUUUCUUUCUUUUUUCUUCUUUUAUUUUUCGUACGUAAGAAGAAGAAGAAGAAGAAGAGGGGGGUGGUGUUGUUACUGGGCCGGCAUCUCCUCGACGCCCAUCGGAGCGUGUUGGAAAUGAUUCGUUCAACUGUCACUGAAUUUGUCUCUCGGCGCCCUGGACGCGAGCGUCCCCAUACAUCAGCCCGGCAACUAUACUCUCGGACGGACGUCGGGAUCACAACGUUUGGCUAUUAUCUCGCCUAAAAGUUGCCCUUGCGCAAUAAUGCUUACGUUUACAACGGGAAUAAGAGAGAAAGAGACAUGUCUACUACUACCAAGACCCCCAAGUUCUACUGGACUUGAGUGCAGUCGUGUAUCUUGGUCAACUUGGCCGGGAUAGCGAUGGAGGAGGAAAGAAGAAGAAAAAAGCUUUUUUGAUUUCUAAAUAAUUUGAUUUUUUUAAAUCCCCCCUUUUUUCCUUUCCUUGUGCUAGCGGGGCUGUGAAGUCGUUUCCAAAGCGUCGGUAGUCAUUUUUCAUAUUUCUUCCUUCAACUGUUGAGUAUUUUCUUUUUCUUUCGUUUUGCCUCUUGAAAAAUCUUUGCUGAAGAAAACUGCCCAAAGAAGAAAACCGGACCACACCGUCUUCCCCUUUUUACUGGGCGAACAAAAUUUCCUUUUCCCCGAGUUCUUUUUUAUUUUCAGAUUUUGACUCCAAACAGACGCAUCACAGACGCGUAGAUUUGAAAAGAGACUGACGGACAGACAGCUAAAGGUCCUUUUUUUCUUCUUCUUCUUUUUCUUUCCUUCUUCCCGUUCUCCCUUCUUCUUCUUUUUUGGGUUUUUGUUUUGUUUUGGAAUUCCUUUUUUCCAGUCUCUGCAGCUCUUGACCAAACCCUCCCUGGAAAAAAAGAAAAACUCCCUCCCUCAGUUUUGCCCGUCUGAAGAGCGCUUUCAGGGUUCCUUGGCCAGUCGGUAUGGUGUAAGAUCAUCAGUAUUUGCCCAGCCACUUACAGUCAAAGGCUGUGCCCGCAACUGCCGUGCCCGGUCUCUCUCUCUCUCUCUACUUUCUACUUGUGAUUUGUAAAUUGUGUCUGUGAAACAUCUCGAGGCGUUUGUGUGUCGUGGCCGGACAAACUUAGUAGUAGUACUAGUGGACGAAAAGUAGAGGAUAAAAGGUGGGUUCCUUUUUUCUGUUUUCUUUCCAGCUCUUUUUUUUAUUUGUGUCUUUUUAGGAGCCAUUAUGAAUUGAGCACGUCAAGGCACGAGCGUGACGGUGACAUCAUGACUGUAGUGUGUGUGUGUGAGUGUGGCGUCAUCGAGUUCGAAACCCUCACGCUCUGCCGGCCGAGCAAAGAUUCUGACGUCUCGCCUUUUUAUAAAAUUUGAUUUGUCGCCUUCACUUUGUCAUUUGUUUGUGUGUGCCUCGACGUUUCACGUCCGCCUGCCGGGCCUGAUCCUUUGCUCAACCUGUGAUCGUAAACCUUGUAUUACCCUCCUUUGCGGGAGGAGGUGAGCAAAGUUUCAGGUGCGUCAGUUGGAUCGUCUUUCUCACCGCACAAUUGUUUCAAACAAAAAACUAUUCAACAAUUGCAAGGAAAAUGUCCAUCUAGAUUUGGUGUAUUUACGCUCUCAGCCUGAUCCUUGCUCGACCUAAGCCUUUGACAAUGAGCGAGGUGAGCAAAGUUUCAGGUGCGUGAGCGGCACCUCCAGUCGUCCUAUCCGAUCCGUUUUCCGUUAUUAUGUUUUUUUUUAAAUUAUUAUUCGGUAAAUUGUGAACUCUUUUAUUUUGUGUGUGUGUGUUUGAAAUGGGUUUUGUCGUCCGUUUGUUCUCAUCUGAAUAAUACACGACGUGCGGCUUUUA